rnacentral:lncRNA from 1 species
UGGAGGGGGUAUAGGUUUGUAGUAGUAUGGAGGAGGUGGUGAUGGUGAGGGUGGAGGAGGUGACUCAUAAACAUAAGGUGGUGGUGGAGGGGAUUUGUAGACAUAUUGUGGAGGAGGAGGUGAUUCGUAAACAUAUGGAGGAGGUGGCGGUGACUUGUAGACAUAUGGUGGUGGAGGUGGCGACUUGUAUACAUAUGGUGGGGUGGUGAUGGAGAUGGUGGAGGAGGAGACUUGUAGACAUAUGGAGGUGGGGUGUACACAUAUGGUGGGGGAGGUGGCGACUUGUAGAUAUAUGGAGGAGGUGGUGAUGGUGGAGGAGGAGAUGGGUAAACAUAAGGUGGAGGAGGUGGUGACUUAUACACAUAUGGAGGAGGUGGGGGUGAUUUGUAGAUAUAUGGAGGAGGAGGCGAUGGUGGAGGAGGAGAUGGGUAAACAUAAGGUGGAGGAGGUGGUGAUUUGUAUACGUAUGGAGGAGGUGGUGAUGGUGGAGGAGGAGACGGGUAAACGUAAGGUGGAGGAGGUGGUGACUUGUACACAUAUGGAGGAGGUGGGGGUGACUUGUACACAUAUGGAGGAGGUGGUGAUGGUGGAGGAGGAGACGGGUAAACAUAAGGUGGAGGAGGUGGUGACUUGUACACGUAUGGAGGAGGUGGGGGUGACUUGUACACAUAUGGAGGAGGUGGCGGUGACUUGUAUACAUACGGAGGAGGUGGUGAUGGUGGAGGAGGAGACGGGUAAACGUAAGGUGGAGGAGGUGGUGACUUGUACACGUAUGGAGGAGGUGGGGGUGACUUGUAUACAUAUGGAGGUGGCGGUGAUGGUGGAGGAGGAGACGGGUAAACAUAAGGUGGAGGAGGUGGUGACUUGUACACAUAUGGAGGAGGUGGUGGUGAUUUAUAGACAUAAG